UGAGUUUCUACCAAUGGAGAUAUCUUAAAAACCAAUCCAGUCCGAUGCAAAAGCAGCGACGGAUUUUCGUAAAAUCUACUUGAUUGUUUCACCUUCCUCAACAAUCCUCUCUUCCCUUCCCAACACCACCCCCGCCCCCCCCCCACUCCCUCUCUCUCUCAAUAACUUGAAUCCCAAGUAUGAUUUAGUCCUCUUCUCUUUAAAUCAUCAUAAUAUGUUUCUUGAUUUCUCUCCCUAUACACCAUACAAAUACACAACUACAUCUCAUAC
rnacentral:misc_RNA from 1 species